rnacentral:rRNA from 1 species
GAGAGAUCGGCGUUCCCCUUCGGGGGACAGGGUGACAGGUGGUGCAUGGUUGUCGUCAGCUCGUGUCGUGAGAUGUUGGGUUAAGUCCCGCAACGAGCGCAACCCUCGACCUUAGUUGCCAGCAUUCAGUUGGGCACUCUAAGGUGACUGCCGGCUAAAGUCGGAGGAAGUGGGGAUGACGUCAAGUCCUCAUGGCCCUUAUAGGUGGGGCUACACACGUCAUACAAUGGCUGGUACAAAGGGUUGCCAACCCGCGAGGGGGGAGCCAAUCCCAUAAAGCCAGUCGUAGUCCGGAUCGCAGUCUGCAACUCGACUGCGUGAAGUCGGAAUCGCUAGUAAUCGUGGAUCAGAAUGUCACGGUGAAUACCGUUCCCGGGUCUU